UUGCAAACUCAGUCACUACACUAGCUCUGCAUGGUGUUGCAGAAGCAAGGGGAACAGAUUUGAUAAAAUAAACAUGGUGAUAGAAUUAUAUUAGCCUUAGAAAUCAAAUUAUUUGAGCUGCUAAUUCUGCACCAUGAUAAGG